rnacentral:rRNA from 1 species
GCCAGACUCCUACGGGAGGCAGCAGUGAGGAAUAUUGGUCAAUGGGCGGGAGCCUGAACCAGCCAAGCCGCGUGAGGGGAGAAGGUACAGCGUAUCGUAAACCUCUUUUGUCAGGGAGCAACGCCGGCUACGUGUAGCCGGACUGAGAGUACCUGAAGAAAAAGCAUCGGCUAACUCCGUGCCAGCAGCCGCGGUAAUACGGAGGAUGCGAGCGUUAUCCGGAUUUAUUGGGUUUAAAGGGUGCGUAGGCGGAAUGCCAAGUCAGCGGUAAAAUCGCGGGGCUCAACCUCGCUCCGCCGUUGAAACUGGGUGCCUUGAGUGGGCGAGAAGUACGCGGAAUGCGUGGUGUAGCGGUGAAAUGCAUAGAUAUCACGCAGAACUCCGAUUGCGAAGGCAGCGUACCGGCGCCCAACUGACGCUGAAGCACGAAGGCGUGGGUAUCGAACAGGAUUAGAUACCCCCGUAU